GGGGACCCGCACAAGCGGUGGAUGAUGUGGAUUAAUUCGAUGCAACGCGAAAAACCUUACCUACCCUUGACAUGUCCAGAAUCCUGCAGAGAUGCGGGAGUGCCCGAAAGGGAAUUGGAACACAGGUGCUGCAUGGCUGUCGUCAGCUCGUGUCGUGAGAUGUUGGGUUAAGUCCCGCAACGAGCGCAACCCUUAUCAUUAGUUGCUACGCAAGGGCACUCUAAUGAGACUGCCGGUGACAAACCGGAGGAAGGUGGGGAUGACGUCAAGUCCUCAUGGCCCUUAUGGGCAGGGCUUCACACGUCAUACAAUGGUCGGUACAGAGGGUUGCCAAGCCGCGAGGUGGAGCCAAUCCCAGAAAGCCGAUCGUAGUCCGGAUUGUUCUCUGCAACUCGAGAGCAUGAAGUCGGAAUCGCUAGUAAUCGCGGAUCAGCAUGUCGCGGUGAAUACGUUCCCGGGUCUUGUACACACCGCCCGUAAGGGC
rnacentral:rRNA from 1 species